UUUUUUUUUGACCUUGAAUGGUUUUUACUCUUCUCCUACCGAAUUCACAUUCCUCCUUGGAUAUCCUCUAAUACAAACACUGAGAUAAAAAGUUAAUUAUCAUUAAUGCAUUUUACUUUAAAAGAUAAAAGCAAAAGAGAGGAAUUAAACACAAAUAUUUGAUGAAUAUAUAAGGUCAUGAUGUAACUUGGAAUGAUUUGUGACUCCCCAUACGUACCAGAAAUGUCUGGAUUGACAGCCAUGUGUAAUUCCCUGCCCAGUUGCAUGCCUCUGUCUGUUGACACACCUGACACUUGCCUUGGUCAUGACAAGUGUGAAAAUGUAUAGUAUAGAGCCUACAACAGGGAUUCAUCAGUUCACCAAGCUGCAGAGGAGACUGGGAAUUACCCACAUCAAAACCAAGGUCAGGACUACAUCUGCUUCAUAAGGCUGCCCAUUUCAAUAUUUUGUUUGGUUUUUGUUGUUGUUGUUGUUUGUUCUUUGUAGAGAUGGGGUCUUGUUAUGUUGCCCAGGCUAUUCUCAAACACCUGGGCUCAACUAAUCCUCCUGCUCCAGCCUCCCAAAGUGCUGGGAUUACAGGCGAGAGCCUCCACACCCAGUCCAUUCGAAUGUUUUGAUAAUUAGUUGCUUCUGAAUGUUAUUGAUCAUAACAAUCAUAGAAACCAUUUAUUAAGUGCCUUCAUCAGAGGCAUUUGGGCCAAAGCAACUGUAUCUUGAAUUGAAACUGGGUAAAAUAAGGCUGAGACCUACUGGGCUGCAUUCCCAGACGAUUAAGGCAUUCUAUGUCACAGGAUGAGAUAGGAGGUCGACACAAGACCCAGGUCAUAAAGACCUUGCUGAUAGAAACAGUUUCCAGUAAGAAAGCUGGCUAAAACCCACCAAAACCAAGAUGGCCAAGAGAGUGACCUCUAGUUGUCCCCCACUACACUCCCAUCAGCACCAUGACAAUUUACAAAUGCCAUGGCAACGUCAGGAAGUUACCCUAUAUGGUCUAAAAGGGGGAGGCAUGAAUAAUCCACCCCUUGUUUAGCAUAUCAUCAAGAAAUAACCUUAAAAAUGGGCAACCAGCAGCCUUCGGGGCUGCUCUAGGGAGUCGCCAUUCUUUUGUUCCUUUGCUUUCCUAAUCAACUUGCUUUCACUUUACUCUUCGGACUCACCCUGAAUUCUUUCCUGCCCGCCAUCCAAGAACCCUC
rnacentral:lncRNA from 1 species